UGAUUAAUGAUAUGUUUAUUUUGGGAAGCCAAAUCGGUAUGGGUUCCUUACAUGUGUUUGAGACGUAAGGAAUCUUUUUGCAAUUUUUGAUGUACCUAGUUAGAGACUACUUACCCCAAUGACUAGCUUUCUAGUUCCUAUAAAAAUGGGUUCAACCCUCAUUAUCCACCUUUUCAGAUACCUUCUUCUCCAAAGCUUUCAACUAAACUCCAUCAAACUCCAUAAAGUGCAUAGUGUAUUUUCCUUCUAAUUUUUACCAAGUCGAACUCUCAAU
rnacentral:lncRNA from 1 species